GACGAACGCUGGCGGCGUGCUUAACACAUGCGAGUCGAACGGAAAGGCCCCUUUGGGGGUCCUCGAGUGGCGAACGGGUGCGUAACACGUGAGUAACCUGCCCUUGACUUCGGGAUAACUUCAGGAAACUGGGGCUAAUACCGGAUAGGAAUCCUUGCUGCAUGGUGGGGGUUGGAAAGCUUCGGCGGUUUUGGAUGGACUCGCGGCUUAUCAGCUUGUUGGUGGGGUAGUGGCUUACCAAGGCUUUGACGGGUAGCCGGCCUGAGAGGGCGACCGGCCACAUUGGGACUGAGAUACGGCCCAGACUCCUACGGGAGGCAGCAGUGGGGAAUAUUGCACAAUGGGCGGAAGCCUGAUGCAGCAACGCCGCGUGCGGGAUGACGGCCUUCGGGUUGUAAACCGCUUUCAGCAGGGGCGAAGCUUGUGGUGACGGUACCUGCAGAAGAAGCACCGGCUAACUACGUG
rnacentral:rRNA from 1 species